rnacentral:tRNA from 1 species
GCCCAUGUAGCUCAGUGGUAGAGCACACCCUUGGUAAGGGUGAGGUCGCCGGUUCGGCUCCGGUCAUGGGCUCCA